AAAAUGAGAAUGAUGAAGAAGAUAUUAAUGGUUAGAUUGACAUAUUGUAGAAUAGAUAUUAGUUCGUUUUUAUAAGAUAUUAAUAAAAUAGAUUAAUAGUCCAUAGAAUAGUCAGUUCAAGAGGACGGAUGGUUGAUUUAGUUAUUAAAAGCACUUAAUUAUAAAAUUAUGAUUAGGAACUAGAAAUCAGUAGUAAUUAUAUAGGAGUUGUAGAAGUUUGUUGGGGGGCCAAACUGUGAUAGUCAUGAGCCGGAGUUAAGCUUGGUGCUUCCUCUGUGUUUUUUUUGUUUUCUUUGUUGUUGAAGAGUAAUGGAUAGUUUUUGAAUACUGAGAAGUGAG
rnacentral:lncRNA from 1 species